rnacentral:SRP_RNA from 1 species
CCCUCGGCUUCGCGUGCCGCGUUCCCGCUAACCCCGUCAGAUCCGGAAGGAAGCAGCGGUCCGCGAUGGGCGCGGGCCGUGGAUCACCGGGGGGUU